UCCAGACUCCUACGGGAGGCAGCAGUGAGGAAUAUUGGUCAAUGGCCGGAAGGCUGAACCAGCCAUGCCGCGUGAAGGUCAGUGCCCUAUGGGCGUUAAACUUCUUUUGUGCGGGAGCAAUAAUGGUCACGUGUGGCCAGACGAGAGUACCGUACGAAUAAGCAUCGGCUAACUCCGUGCCAGCAGCCGCGGUAAUACGGGGGAUGCAAGCGUUAUCCGGAUUUAUUGGGUUUAAAGGGUGCGCAGGCGGCCUGUUAAGCGAGGGGAAAACGCCGGGGGCCCACCCCCGGCGAGCCGUUGAAACUGGCGGGCUGGAGUUGGAGAGAAGUACGCGGAAUGCGCGGUGUAGCGGUGAAAUGCUUAGAUAUCGCGCAGAACCCCGAUUGCGAAGGCAGCGUACCGGCUCCACACUGACGCUGAGGCACGAAAGCGUGGGUAUCGAACAGGAUUAGAUACCCCUGUAU
rnacentral:rRNA from 1 species